rnacentral:rRNA from 1 species
CCUACGGGAGGCAGCAGUGAGGAAUAUUGGUCAAUGGACGAGAGUCUGAACCAGCCAAGUCGCGUGAAGGAUGACUGCCCUAUGGGUUGUAAACUUCUUUUAUAUGGGAAUAAAAUGUUCCACGUGUGGGAUUUUGUAUAGACCAUAUGGAAAAGGAUCGGACAACUCCGUGCCAGCAGCCGCGGGUAUACGGCGGGUUCGAGCGUUAUCCGGGUUUAUUGGGUUUAAAGGGAUGGUAGGUGGAUUGUUAAGUCAGUUGUGAAAGUUUGCGGCUAAACCGUCGAAGUGCAGUUGAAACUGGCAGUCUUGAGUACACGAGAGGUAGGCGGAAUUCGUGGUGUAGCGGUGAAAUGCUUAGAUAUCACGAAGAACUCCGAUUGCGAAGGCAGCUCACUGG